GGGAAUGCAGCUCAGUGGUAGAGCAUCUGCCUCGCGUGCAGAAGGUCCCAUGUUCGAUCCCUGGCAUCUCCA